rnacentral:siRNA from 1 species
UGGUUAAGAAAGAUGGUGAGGUCG